AGCUCCAAUAGCGUAUAUUAAAGUUGCUGCAGUUAAAAAGCUCGUAGUUGGAUCUCGGGGUACCUGGUCUAGCCGGUAUAGCUCACGCUAAAACUGGUCUGACCCCCCAACGUGAGGUAUUCGUCUCCGGGUGCACUUCAUUGGGUGCUCGUGAGGGGCCUCGUAGUUACUGUGAAAAAAUUAGAGUGUUCAAAGCAGGCUCAUAUGUUCGGAUAGUCGUGCAUGGAAUAAUGAAUUAGGGAACGGGGGUUUUCCGGUGGGUCUGGCGGACGGGUAAAAGAAUAAGAGGGAAUGCCGGGGGCAUUGGUAUGGCGGGGUUAGAGGUGAAAUUCUUGGAUCCUCGCCAGACCAACAAAAGCGAAAGCAUUUGCCAAGAAUGUCUUCA
rnacentral:rRNA from 1 species